rnacentral:rRNA from 1 species
UACGUAGGCAGCGAGCGUUGUUCGGAGUUACUGGGCGUAAAGAGCGCGCAGGCGGUCGUACAAGUCGCGUGUGAAAGCCCCCGGCUCAACUGGGGAGGGUCACGCGAUACUGUUCGACUCGAAGGCAGGAGAGGGAAGUGGAAUUCCCGGUGUAGUGGUGAAAUGCGUAGAUAUCGGGAGGAACACCAGUGGCGAAGGCGACUUCCUGGCCUGUUCUUGACGCUGAGGCGCGAAAGCUAGGGUAGCAAACGGG